CUUGGCGGUGGACGAGGCGAUCGGGCCGGCCUUGUCGAGCAGGGCCAGCUGGCGUUCCAGCGCCUCGUCCAGGC
rnacentral:tRNA from 2 species